UGCAUCCCUGCUUCAGCAGGAGCACCGCGAUGGAGGGUGGACAAAUCCUGUGAUUUGUGACAUUUGCAAUCUGCUGCUGGAGCAGGUGAAGAUGAAGGUGAAGGAAGAGCUGCCCACCUGCCUGAAUGGAGCUCAGACUGAAGACCUUCCCUGUGGUGCAGUCAAGUUCAGUGGCUGCAGAGCAACUGAGACUGAGCCAGGGCAUUGCCAUCUCUCCUCUGUCUCCUGAAGCUGUCCCCACAGCUUGGAGACUGAGGUGGGCUGCAGCUGUGCCACUGCAAGAAGAUGCUUCUGCAUGGCACAGGGCAAAGCAGUGGUACCCUUGGGUGCCCGUCCCUGGCAGAUGAGGAGGGGUGUUGGCUCCUGGGGACCUCUGCCAGGACACGUUUCCAGGCCUGAGAUGGGAGUGUUUCUCCCUGAUGGAUGCAGUUUGUUUCAGAGGUGAUGGAGCAGACUGAAGCUGGGGGGGAAAGGGGGCAGCCAGGCUGGUGGAGCAAGACAUUUUGAACGCUUUUCAUUCUAGCUCUCUGCAGCCCGUGCCUUGCCAGGAGCUGCUCUCUGUUUUCAGUUAGCUCUGUAAUUGUGUUAGAUCCCAGUAAACAAGGGCGUUCCAAGUGUGUUGCAAGAGCCAGGGCAGCUCUGCACAUCUUGGUCAUGUCCCUGGGGACCGGGUUGCUGGGUGCUGCUGGUGCCGUGACACAGCUGCUCCACACCUUGGCUUUGGGGAUCCCCCAACACCUUCUCUGGGGAGAUGGAGCCAGGGGUCUGGCUGCGGAGAGGGAGAGGACAAUCCCCUGGCUGCCACCCUGGGGAGCAGGACUCUGCCCUCAGCCUGGGCUGGAUGCUCCCAGCACAGCUCUGCUCCCUCUGCCUGUGGUUCCUGCUCUUUUCUCACCCCAUCUACACCACAGAGAGAGGACGAAGGACCACAAUGGCUUAGAAGAGGUAACGGAGCUGAGCACCAGGACCACCAUCAGCCUUCUCAGCCUCGGGUUCCCUCAUCUUUCUUGGUAUUCCCCUCAUGCUCAGAGAGCUGCCAGUGUCAGCCCCUGCUUGCACCCAGCUUCCCCAUCCUGCCCUGGCUCCUGUCCUAAAUAUAUUUUUACAUUUUAUGACUCUCAGAGGUUUUUAAAUUUAAUGGGUUCUUUUUUUUUUUUUUUUCUUUCUUCCUUCUUAUCACCUGAGCUGGAUCCUCUCUGAGCUGCUGCCAGCUCCAGGGAUUACAAGUGAAUAAUUUAGGUCUGAUGGUACGUUUGAAGUUUAAGAGAAGGAAGUGGCAUGUGUAGCCUGCUCCUCAUCCUGCCCCAGGGCCAUGGCACAGGCUGCUGCUGUUUCUCCAAAGCUCUGGAGCACAGUGAAGAAGACAAUGGAGAAGACAUGAAGAAACAUGACCUGCUGGAGAGCUGACAUGGGCUGGCUGCUGCUGGGCGAAGGAGUUACCUCUAGGGUUACCAGCCUGUUGUCUCCAGGUACUGGUGGAGGAAGGAAGGACGUGCUGAGCAAUGGCAGUGCAGAGCUCUUGGCUGGCCUGCUCAUCUUUGCUGCUUGGCUCUCCCAGGGAGCACUGAACAUCACGGGGUCCGGCAGCAGAAGAGACUUCCCUCCCCGUGUCCCAUGGGGAGAGAGCUGCCACCGGUGGUCUCUGUGGUCUGUGCUUGCACAGUGCCAAGUGUUGCUAGUUCUCAGGACAAGGGGCACAGAAAGAUACCCUGGGAAAUUAAUUUUAACCCCCAGCAAUUCACCAUUCAGAAAGGUAAGUGACUUUUGUCAGGGCUGGUUCGGUAGCAGCCCCAACAGAGGCAAUCUUUUCCUUACACACACGCUCCUCUUUGCAAGGUGGCUCUGACAAAACAUAAGCAUGAACUUUAGUUGUUUCCAGGAGCUCUUGGAAGAGCUAACAAGCGUAUCACAGGGUCCAGCAUUAAAUCCUUCCCUGCUGGGAUGCAGCAGAGAACGGAAACUGUCAGGCAGUUUGAGAUCCACUUAACAGCAAUUAGUGCAGAUGAAAGAAGCACUAACGCAAAAGCCCCAGUCUCUCUGUGCCUCGGGUGGGAGGAGGAAAGGAAUGUGUAAGAGAAAAUGUAAACAUGACAAAAUGUGGCUGUGUAUCCCACAAAACAAUGAAUCAUUUUAACUUUUCCAAUCCUUUUCAUGCAAGCAGAAACAGUCGAUCAAUAUGUGACAGAAUUAAAGACCUGCAGUAAAGCCUUGGAGCUGAGGAUCUGUGAGAAUUGUGAGUACAGAGUAAUCUGUGGAAUUCUGCAUACAGCAUGAAGGGAAAGGCAAGUGUGUGUACAGAGGCCAGAUGGUGCAACAGCAGAAGUCUGCUGGGCAAGAGGACUCCUUUGCCCACCCAGAGGAGCACCCGUUGGAGAGGAGAAACCAUCACUGGCAAUGGAUAUGGAGCACCUAGAGAAAGUAAGAGUAUUUCCCAGAAAACUCCGAGUUACAACAAAUGUGGCCCUAAACCACAUCCUUGUAAAAGUCUGCGGUGUGACUCAGAAUGUGUGUGUUCAUAAAAGCUGCAGCCAUAGCCACGGCUCUGGAGGAUUUUUGGCCAGGAAGAGCAUCUCAUAGACUUUACCAGUGGUGAAAAGAGUCGGGAGAUGCCAUUCCAUGACUCUGUGCCACAGCUGACUUCAAGACAAAGGCUGUUUCAAGGUAGAUUAGUGGGUGAUAUCCCUGGAAAAAGGAAAGGCAGGCACACAACAGCUAAACAGGUGAAUACUUAGUUAUGUGCACACAGGGUGUGAUGGACCUAUUGAACCCAUUCUAAAAGUGUCUACACUGGGCCAUUUGAAAAGCAGUAGGGAAGACACAAUUGCCCAGUUUGGAAACACUAAAAGUUUUAGAAAGUUAGCAUCAUUCUCUGGAUCAUGGUAAUUGAGUGAGCUGAGGAGCUCAAGAUGAUGCACUUACAACAGGUCUUUUGGGAGGUUCAGAUUCCUGCCGUUGCUCUUUGGGGAAGCUGGAGAAGUUUACCACAUGGGCAGAGAAACCUGCUACUGGCAAAAGCAGGACCGUAGACGGCACAGGGAAAGCAGAACUUUGAAGAGAACUCAGACCAACAGGGGCUGCCAGGGGAUGAUGGAAGCCGAGGACUGACUGGGUGCAGAGAUAUUGUCUGUUAAAAGCAGUGGAUCUAACAGUGGUGGUGGCUGAGCAGGAUUUGAGUCAGAGGGGACUGGCCAUGAUGAAGGAUAAGCAGAGCUGGGUCUGACGCUGCACCUUCUGGGUGUAGGCACUGGACAGGGCUUCCUUUCUCUUCAGCAUAGGAGGCCUUUUCUGGUCCCUCCCAACCACAUUACGGUGGUCUUCCCAGUGCAGAGCACAAAUCCUUCAGAGUGCUGGGCUCAGCACUAAUGUACUCCAGAAGCAGUCAGAUCACUCUGCCUUUCUGGGCUGGGAGUCCAAAGAUCGUCCUAGUACCAGAAAUAAACAACUAUUUUCCAGCUUGCAUCCUCCCCUCAGCUUUUUGCAGCCAGAUUGUGGCUUUCACUGCGCCACAGUUCUCCUACUAUUGUUAUGGGAAAACUGUGAUUGCUUUGAGCUCUUUCUCUCUGCUCCGGUGUCAGGGCCACAGAAGAGCGUGUGUGAGAGAGUGAGUGUGUGUGCACGUGUGUUUGCUAGGGAGAGGAUGACAAAAGGAGGCUGUAUGAUGCUCCUCCUGCCCAUUAGCCUUGUCCUAAGCUUUCCAUCUGACUGGGACCCUUGGAUGCAGCCUGGAUUGAUAGCCCAAACCUCUGCCUUUCCUCCGUUUUCUUUGCUCUGCUUUGUUAUAUUGCGAGUCUAGAGCACAGCCUCAGUUAUCCACUCUCUUGCAACACCUGGGUGGUGAAGCACGCAUCUGGCUGUAGGUCUUGGGAGCAAACAACUUGAAAUGAGCUCCUGUGCCACUGAUGGAAGGGCAAACACAUCCCACAGCAGGGUGUCAUUCUCCCCGGCUCACCUCUCGGUCACGCUGCCUGCCCGCCCGCCAGCAGAGCCAAACACUUGCCACCGGGCUUUCUUCAGGACGCACUCUGGGACUGGCCCAGCAAGGAAUGACUGCUGCAGAUAACUGCCCCAACAUUUAAUUUUUAUAGUCUGAGUGGCAGGAUUUCAUGCUGGGCACAACCAGCAGUGGAGAUGAAAGCUCGAAGCCAAAUAGACAUCACAGAGCCAGUACAAAUGCUAUUUAUUAAAGAAAUGCCUGGAUUGCAGAGGAAGCAGAAAGGUGCGUCUUGAAAGGAACCUUUAAUGCCUGUGAGUGAAAAGCAACAAGGGCUGGGGAAGAAGGCGAGCUGCCAGAGGCACCAGCGAAUGGACCCGGUCCUGGGGUGAGGUGGCAGCAGGAGCACGAGGCUGGGAGCCAAAGGGUAAGUCGUGCUGCUGCUUCUGUAGCCAUAAAAUCAAGAGCUGGGUGAAGGGGGUGGCCAAGCUGUGCUGAGGGGCAAGAAGGUGCUGCUGGGGAAGGGGACAUCCCCAGGGUUCCCCGAGGAACUGCCGUUCUCUGCUAUGCUUCUGUGCAGAAAAAUUAAUAACCGUGCCCUCCUGCCAGCAGGGUGUGAGGCUUUUCUGCUCCCUUCAGCAGCAGAGCAGGACUCCAGCUCCCACCUCGUGGUCCAGAUGGAGUGUCUCAGCUGCUGAGCUCACCUCCCCAUCUCUUCCCAGGCUGUGGAAGGGCUCCAAGCCCUCCUUCCCCCAUCACCGCAGGGGCCUGCCCCAUGCAAGGACACAUUUCCCCCUUCAAACAGUGAACCAGUCCCUUGCUUCCAGCUGUACAUACUCUGGCCAGGCUCAGGACACUUAUGGGGUGGGCACCACCCAGGCCACCCUUGCCUUCCACAUCACCUCCCUGCCCUCAGACCUUCAUUUUCCCUUGGUAGCCCCCAAAUGAUGGCACACCAGCCGCUCACAUGCAUCCCUGUCCCCAGCCCUGGAGUCACUCUGAGCAGCAGAAUCUGCUGCAUUAGGUCGAUUUCAAGAGCCCCUCCAGGUCAGUUAGCAAUUACCUGCACCAGAUACACGCUUGGAAAGGAGCUUCUGAUCUCUUCAAUGCACUCGUUUUCCUCUUUCAAUUUCAAAUUCGCCUCACUGGAAAUAGGCACUUCAGCCUCUUUUACAGACCAUGGUAAAUUAGGAUUUCGUCCAGUUCUGUUGGUUUUGCUGAUAUAGAUGUUUUUCCCUACAGAGGCAAUGCCACGGCCAAUCUGAGGUGUGUCCAGACCCCCUCCAUCCGAACUCCCCCAGCUGAGCCUGCAGGUGAUGUCAUGGUCCACAGAGUGUUUCUGCACAGACCCUGGCCCUGGCACAUGCUGAGGAGCCUCUCCUGGGAUGGGCACCCUGGUGCCAACGCUCUUGGUAUCAAUUCAGAGUGGUGGCUCAUGUUGUUGAGACAUGGCCAGUGAGCAGAGGCAUUCCCUCCCUUAAAGAGUCAGCUGCAGUGCAUGUCUCCAAUCUGCUGGCUCCAGUCUUGUCCUGGAAGGAAAAGGACUGGAAAAGAAGGACAGCCAGUAUCUUUGUGUCUGUCCUUACCCUUGUGUGGAAACUUGACUGCCAACAAGUUGUCACAAAGAUGCUCUCUACAGUGACAUCCUUCAUGCUGGGCUCUUCCAGCGUAGCACUGGUCACACUGUGGGAGUGCUCCGGCUGGUUCCUUCUGCUGCUCAGCUAAAGAAGACACGUUCUCCUGCUCCUGCCCAAGGACAGGCUCCCAAGGGAAGGGACCUGCGCUGCAAUCUUGCAGCUGGUGCAUCUGUAGCAGCCUCUGGGGCCA